rnacentral:rRNA from 1 species
AUUGAACGCUGGCGGCAGGCCUAACACAUGCAAGUCGAGCGGAUGAAGGGAGCUUGCUCCUGGAUUCAGCGGCGGACGGGUGAGUAAUGCCUAGGAAUCUGCCUGGUAGUGGGGGAUAACGUCCGGACACGGGCGCUAAUACCGCAUCCGUCCUGAGGGAGAAAGUGGGGGAUCUUCGGACCUCACGCUAUCAGAUGACCCUAGGUCGGAUUAGCUAGUUGGUGGGGUAAAGGCCUACCAAGGCGACGAUCCGUAACUGGUCUGAGAGGAUGAUCAGUCACACUGGAACUGAGACACGGUCCAGACUCCUACGGGAGGCAGCAGUGGGGAAUAUUGGGCAAUGGGCGAAAGCCUGAUCCAGCCAUGCCGCGUGUGUGAAGAAGGUCUUCGGAUUGUAAAGCACUUUAAGUUGGGAGGAAGGGCAGUAAGUUAAUACCUUGCUGUUUUGACGUUACCAACAGAAUAAGCACCGGCUAACUUCGUG